rnacentral:rRNA from 1 species
AGAGUUUGAUCCUGGCUCAGAACGAACGCUGGCGGUCUGCCUUAUACAUGCAAGUCGCACGAGAAACCAUGGGCUUGUUUCUGCUCGUACAGGGAAGCAAGUCCGGGGAGUAAAGUGGCGAACGGGUGAGUAACACGUAGAUAACCUACCCUCCGGACGGGGACAACCCUGGGAAACCGGGGCUAAUACCCGGCGAUAUUCCUCGUGUGAAGGCAGGGGGAAUCAAAGGUGACUCUUUUCUUAUGGGUUGCGCCGGAGGAUGGGUCUGCGGCCUAUCAAGUUGUUGGUGAGGUAACGGCUCACCAAGCUGAAGACGGGUAGCCGGGCUGAGAGGCUGGUCGGCCACAUGGGGACUGAGACACUGCCCUGACUCCUACGGGAGGCAGCAGUAGGGAAUCCUGCGCAAUGGGGGCAACCCUGACGCAGCGAGACCGCGUGGAGGACGAAGGCCUUCGGGUCGUAAACUCCUGUCACUGGUGAAGAAUUCAUCGCUUCGGUGGUGGAUGACGCCAACUGGAGAGGAAGCUGCGGCUAACUCCGUGCCAGCAGCCGCGGUAAUACGGAGGCAGCAAGCGUUGUUCGGAAUCACUGGGCUUAAAGGGCAUGUAGGCGGUGGUGACAAUCUCUUGUGGAAGUCUCCCGUUUAACGGAAGAAUUGCGAGAGAUAUUUUAUCACUUGAGGUUAGGAGGGGAGAGUGGAACUCCUGGUGGAGCGGUGGAAUGCGCAGAUAUCAGGAGGAACGCCGGUGGUGAAGACGACUCUCUGGCCUAUACCUGACGCUGAGGUGCGAAAGCUAGGGGAGCAAACGGGAUUAGAUACCCCGGUAGCCCUAGCUGUAAACGAUGGGCGCUAAGUGGGGGGAACCGAUCUUCUCUCUGCUGGAGGAAAACUACUAAGUGCCCCGCCUGGGGAGUACGGUCGCAGGGCUAAAACUCAAAGGAAUUGACGGGGGCUCACACAAGCGGUGGAGCAUGUGGUUCAAUUCGAAGCAACGCGAAGAACCUUACCCGGGUUUGACAUGCCGGUGGUACGGACCCGAAAGGGCGAGGAACCCGAAAGGGCAGCCGGCACAGGUGUUGCAUGGCUGUCGUCAGCUCGUGUCGUGAGAUGUUGGGUUAAGUCCUAUAACGAGCGAAACCCCUAUCCUUAGUUGCCAGCGCUUAACAGCAGGGACUCUAGGGAGACUGCCCCGGUUAACGGGGAGGAAGGUGGGGACGACGUCAAGUCAUCAUGGCCCUUACGCCCGGGGCAACACACGUGCUACAAUGGCCGGUACAAAGGGCCGCGAAGCCGCAAGGUGGAGCAAAUCCCAAAAAGCCGGCCUCAGUUCGGAUCGAGGGCUGCAAUUCGCCCUCGUGAAGCUGGAAUCGCUAGUAAUCGCGGAUCAGCGAUGCCGCGGUGAAUACGUUCCCGAGCCUUGUACACACCGCCCGUCAAGUCACCCAAGCAGGGUAUAUCCGAAGUCGCUAACCUAACCCGUGGUAGUCUCAGCGGGAAGGAGGCGCCCAAGAUAAAUCCUGUGAGGAGGACUAAGUCGUAACAAGGUAGCCG